rnacentral:lncRNA from 1 species
AGGAGGAAGCUGGAGUACAGGGAAGGGAAGUUACAAGCCCAGAACUAGUUCCUGAACUGGGAUCCAGUCCUCACGUGUUAUGGAGCAAGUGUGUGUACUGGUCUUCCGUGUGUAGUGUUCUGGACACCAUAUUGGGUGAUAUCUCACUGCUGCCUGUGUCGCUAGGCUCUGAGACUUAAGAACUGGGGAGUGGGGGUAGAUAGCAGAGUUGGCACUGUUUUUCCCUGGUUCCCUUGUCACUUCUGUUGUGCCUGCAUAUUAAAAGUAGAGUUAACACAAUUCACCUUUGAAUAAUUUUAUGUGACUGUGUCUUGGGAUUUGUAGUUGCUUAUUCAUGUGUACUUUUGCCUCCUUUCUGCUUUAUUUUAGGACCCUUUUUUUUUUUCUGGUGAUGGGGACCGCUUAGGUUUUAAACUGAAAAGCUAAGGGACAUAUAUCCAUUUUGAAAGAAUGCGUGUUCUGGGAAUAAGGAUGGAGGAAGUAGUCAUAAGUACAUUUGUAUAUACUUCUAAAGAAAAUUAAGGUGUAGUAAUGUAUCCAUGAAAACAAACACAAACAGAGGAACCCUUUUCAGCUAUCACCACAAUAAAAGUAUAUUUCAGAAAGUAACUGGAGACUUGGUCUUGAGAAGUUGCCAUAUCCGAUAUGAUAUAUUAAGUCGUUCAAUCCUAGGGCACUAUUCAGGCAUUUAAAGAAUUCAUCUUUGUCAAACAUAAUCUCUCUCACAAUCCUGAAUAAUUAAUGGGGAGCUAAGCCUUCAAAUAUGACUUGACAAUAUCAAGUAUAAUAAUGUAGUUACAGGUCUUGUCUUCCACCAUCAAAAACUAAUUCACUGCCAAGCACUGUUUAACAGAAAAUGUUGUGUGAUUCUUCUGAUGUAUGUCAUUCAGAGUGUUUAUUUUCAGAAGUAAGUAUCUCUUCAAGUUGUUUUUAAAAAUAUUUGUAUGGAAAAAAAAUUUGUGACACAGUUUAAUUAGUAUGCAGCAUAUUUUUGGUGUAUCUUCUUUGCUAACUUUCUCAAGUUGUCAUAUUGGAAUGUGAUGAUGUGGAUGUUCCUUAAUUUUCUUUGUUACUUUUUAGCUUCCUCUGCAAAAAUGGGCCUAGUUGAAACAAAGUUGGCGAUUAUUCCUGGUGGAGGCUCUUUGGGAGCUUAUAUCAGUGGAAACCACAGCUUCUGGCCUUUAUAAUGAAUACUUGAUCAGCCAUGAUUGACUUGUAUUUACCAUUCUGCAGUGGCUCCUCUCAGAAACGAAGCUCCUUUGUUUCUUAUAGAACAUUACAGACCGGUGUUACCCUUGAGUCUUCGCUGUGGAAAGGAGGGAAGCAGGAGGAGAGUCAUGGAGAAAGGGCCCUGAGUAGACGCAGCCGGCAUUGCAAAGUGCAGAACGUGGGAUGGUGACACAAGCAGAGUCGUCUUGAACAGCAGAAGGGAUUCAUCUUUCCUCUGAGCCCAGUGGCCUAGAGAUGAAGAAGGGCACAGCGAGAUCCAUCCGAGGAAGUGGGAAGGCAUACGUGUUUGCGACAGUGGGGGACAGGAAGAUCCUGCAUUGUGUGGAAGCAACAGGAGAGGCAGGGGCUUGUGUGCAGACCAGGAGGCCUGUGGUGGCCCGGGGGCAAUCUGCAUGAGCGUGAGGAUGCUUUCCCUCCCUGGACUGCCUGCCUCCUGCUUCUGAGACUUGAGGGUGCUGCCCUUCAGGAACAGAGCAGCAGUUUCCCUUGGGAAGUAGCUGUUUGUCUUCCAUGUCUGUUUUUUUCCUAUUUAUUUAGUUAGCUUCUGACUUCUUCCUGUGCAUAUACUACCAGGGAGGGGGCGGGGGAGGCUGAAGAUUGAACCCAGGAAGUACUGAGAUACACCUGCAGCCCUCCCCCCUUAAUUUACUUUGAGCCAGGGUUUUGCUAAGUGCCCACUCUGGCCUCGAAUUUGCUAUCCUCCUGCUCCAGCCUCUCAAGAAGCUGGGAUUCCAGGCAUACAUGCCUCACGCCUGGCCGCCUUUAGCAUGAUUUCUGUCUUAGCAGUGUAUAUUGUCUGUGCUCUAAUUCGUCAGUUCUGUAAUGGUGGUUGUUCUAGUCCUAGCUCUUGAUUUCACUUUCCAUUUCAGUCUCCUGGCUUGCCAUCUCUUCUGUGAGCUGCAUGUUUUGGUCUCGCAUCUUCUCUAAGUAGUCUCAUAUCACACACACUUAUGGGAGACCCUUCAGUGACGGCACUGGCUUUCUUUAAUACAGGACUGUGACUUUAGUAGGUAUGGCCUUUGCCUUCCUCAGUGGGUGGCUUGUUUGGCUUGCCUUGUGGAAUGGGGAAAAUGGCAUGUCAUUGUAUAGUUUUCAUACCAUUAUAUUCUCUCCCUGCUGUGUGUUUUCUGUCCUGAGUCUCGACCAGGACUAUUGCUGCAUCACAGAAUGGGUGGGCUUUGGGCCAAGGGCUCAGUAUUGCUUGUUUUUUUGUUUUUCCCAGUUUUCCAAGAGAAAGGGAGCAAAGGAGGCAAGGCUUGCAGUGUGGAGCACAGGUAGUCCAUGAUGCAGCUCCACAAGGAUCCUCCAUGCCUGUGUCCGAGGAGACAGACUCCCUUUGCUAGACGCCAGCCCCAACAGGUGGCCCGGUGUUCAUAGGCCCUGCGUCCAUCCCUCCCCACUUCCCAUACUGUUCACACCAUUGCUAGCUUUAGCCAGGAAGUAUGGGUGUGAUUGGUGAGCACACAAGUGUGUUUGGGGGUGCGACAGCACUCCAGGGUACACUGUGUAGUGUCGUGCAGGGUAAGCAAGCAGGAGUCAGGGCGGCUGGCCAUGCUCGACAAUCUCUGACUGUGGCCUCUGCUUUCUGUGUAAAGAGUUAGAUGGUCAUUGUGGCGCAGGCGGAAGGAGGCAGUGAUAGGCUGCCUGAGGGUCAUAUGGCCCUAGGUUCACUUCUGUCAGCAUGGUCAGCUCCAGGGAUGGUCUUUCAUAGGCUCCUCACUCAGGCACUUUUCCUCCUCAUUUACCUCAGUUCCACUGAGCUUGUUUCAUCUGUCUUUCUUUUUACUAAACUUUUGCCUAAUAUUUGGGGUGAUUCAUGAUUUAGGUGACUGUGUUAUUUUCCAUCUUCUUUCACCAGCUUUGGUCUUAGCAGAUAAAAACCAAUAUGGCCAUCUCCCCGUUCUGAUAGGAAGAAGGGCAUUUUUUCUCAAAAAGUAUUUUGAUUUUUAAAUGUCUCCUUGGGCUCCUUCUCACCCAUUUUUGGUGCUGACAUUGCUACUUCUCAAGAUUCUGGCUAUCGCCAUCUUUGCCCACAAGGCUGCUGGGGAAUUGGGCCCUGCAUUCCAGUCUGCCUGGGGGACCUGGCCCUGCUCUAGACUGAUUCUGCUGUGCUGUUAGCCACUUCUGCAGUUGCCUUGCUUUCUUCCCCCUACUUUCCCCCACUGGUUUUUCAGCUAGUGUUUUUAAAACAUUUAAAGAGAGUCUGGAAAGUGACUAGAAAGAUCUCUAGUGUACGUCUUAAAUUUCUAAUAACAUAUAGUGUCAUUGUUUCAAGAGUUCACAUUUGAAAUGCUGACAAUUUGACAGAAUUUUAAUCUCUGCGUCUCAAACAACUGUUUGAAGUAACACUGUGUUUUAUGUAGUGAUGGCAACAGACCUCGGCUGCUCUUGCUGGAGCACAGCAGUGCUUGUCAUGUCCAGAGAGCCUCCCUUCGCAUUUCCUCCUGGAGCAGGGAAGGGACAGAUGUCACCUCCACAGAGCCAUGGCAGUGAGCAAGGGGAAGUGACCGGCCUGGCUGACCUCUUCCAUACUCACCUGCUCCACAGGGAGUAUAAGAAGUUGGUUGUGACACCUGAAUGACAUAAUGGCAAAGUUUAAGCAACCUUCUUGGACCGUGAGUUAAUCUGGAAGACAGAAGAUGCAUUGUGAGGAUAGCAAAGGAAAUUCACUGAGGAAACCUGGCUUCUGACUUCAUGGAGUAGCAGUUUAUGAUCAUUGUGCAGCCUUGAGGAAACUGGUCCCAACAUUUUGUUUUUUAAUUUCUAGGUUUCAAGAAAGUGGUUAAAUCAAAGAAGUAAAAAUGUACAGCAUGUUACAUGUUAAUGAGGCUGGAUUUAGUAAAAUGGGCAGUAAAAAGGUUGAAAAUGGGGUAACAUCACAUAGCGAAAUGCUGAUUACUGAGAAACUGGCUUCCUGUGCUCAUUCAGUAAUGCUCGUUCUUGAUGCUCAGCUUUUGUUGGGAAAGAGAAGCCUUGAAACUCAGUAUAAAAUCUUUACAAGAAUAUUCAGAGCAUGCAUAUGAAACUGUGGCUAGUAUAAGUGAACUUGAUCACUAUAUGAGCAAAAAGUGUACAUUUUAAAAUAUACUUCCACCAAAACAAACUGGGGUUUAGGGAGAAAAUACACAAAAUGAACUGGAGCAUUUUGUGAUAUCAGAUCAUUAGAAAUUACCAGACACUGCCUGAAGCUUGUCAGAGGGAGUUCAGAGCCAUUUGCAAGUAAAUUCUCACUUGCCUAAGAUGGGUUGUCCUGGCUUGUGUUUAGAUGUCUCCCCAAAGCCUCAUUGGGUCAUAGGUGGGGCUUUUCAGAGAUGGCUGGAUCUAGAGUGUGUGACGCUGGGAUUGAUGAGAGCAGUAAUAACUAUUAUUAGCAAUGCUAGGCACAAAGGCACUAGGAUUAAGAGUCGGAGUGCUACCCACCUUAGGUAGCCUCGGUAAGAUAAAAGGGAUAGAAAGAUCUGUGGUGGUCCCUUGUUGCUUUUCCUGUCUGCUGCAUGCCCCUCUGCCUUGGAGCCAGCCAACUGUGACCUGAAACCUCUACAGUAAGCCAAAAAAAACCCUUUCCUCCCUUAACUUUUGCAUGUCAGGUAUUUUGUCUCAGCAGUAAGAGAAAAGUAACUAACAGAAUUUGGUACUAGAGAAUUGAGGUCCUUGCUGUGAGUAUAUCUAACCAUGUGGUUCAGAAACCUUUGGGACUGGCUUUUGGGAAGAGUUGUGAAAGGUUCGGAGACACUUUUUAAAAAGUACAGUUGGAGCACCUUAGGCUGAACUUGAUGGCAGAUUCUGGUCAGAGCUUAGAAUACCAGAAAACUGAUAGAAAUGCCAGUAAAGACCAAGCUCAGGAGGUUUCUGCUGGAAAGAAAGACUGUAUUGACUGUUGGACUCCAGAUGAUGUGUGCUAUGGCUUGGCAGAAAGUUUGUCUGCAUUUUGCUCAUGUCCAGAUACUUUGCCUGAGACUGAGAUUAAGGGUGUUGGACUAAUUAAUCUGGCAGAAGAAAUCUCAAGACAGUCUAAUUUUGAGGUGGUGGCAUGGCAACUGUUGGGGGCUUUUAGCCAGAUUUAUGUUGAGAAUCCAGAGCAAAGAGCCCAGCAGAAUGAUUUAAAAUGUUUUGAGUUUGGCCAGAAAAGAAGCUCUGAGUGAAGUUUUAGCCUGCAGAAAUGGAGCAGAAAUCUUGUUGCUGAGAAAGGAACAGGAGAAUAGAAAAGAUGGCCUGAGAUCUUCACAAGGAGCAGCAGGACUCCACCCCUUUGCAGCCUCAAAAUUGCAAAAGUGAAAGACUGCCUUGAAAAGACAGCCCCAGAACACUAUGUUCCAUAGUGGCAUCGGCCUAGAGAAUUUGUUCCUUUGAAUUGGGUUCAGAGUGCUCAGUGAUCCAGGCACACCACCCCUACAGCCAAGAGAGACAGAAGUCUGGCUACUGCUCCAACUGGCAGUAGACUACUGGCAUCAUCCAUAACGUGCUAGUUUUAGGAACAUGCGGAAUGCCGGAGUUGUGGGGACAAGAAGGCUUCCACUCAGAUUUCAGAAGAAGGCCUGGAAGGCCAGGCAGUGUGCCUCUGAGAGUGCAGCUGUGAGUGUGAAGUCAGAGGUGUAGUGGAGACCCCAGAAGUUUGGAGAAUCCAGGAAUAUGGAUGAUCUCUGGAAAACUGCAAAGAGGGAGCAGAGCCGGCCAAUGAGAGAAGCCAUGGGAGCUACAACCACAAGGAGUGCUAUAGAGGCGGAGCCACCCAAGCCCUUUGAAGUUCACACCUUGCCCCAGAUUGCCAUGGAUGCUGGAAGUGGAACUAUGGGAUUUGUUUGCCCUGCUGAUUUUGGACUUGCUUUGGUCCCAUUCCUUUGUAUCCCCCGUUUGUAACUUUUGGAAUAGAAAUGUCUGUCUUGUGCCAUUGAAUGUUGGCAGUGUCUAACUUCCUUUUCAUGUGUUCAGGGUCUGUCUUGUAGCUAAGAGUUUGCCUUCAAUCUCAGAAGAGACCUUGGACUUGGUCUUUUCAGCAGUGCUGAAACUGUUAGGACUUUGGCAACUCUUAGAGAUGGACUAAAUGCCUUUUGAAUAAAGAGAUGUAACGUGAGUCUUUGGGGGCCAGGGGCAGAAUAUUAUGGCCUGUGUUUAGAUGUCCCCCAAAGCCUCACGGGGUCAUAGGUUGGGCUUUUCAGAGGUGGCUGAAUCUGGAGUGUGUCAUGCUGGGAUUGAUUCAUGGAGCAAUGCUAGGCUCCGGGGCACUAGGAUUAAGAGUGUGAGUUCCACCUGCCUUAGGUAGCCUCGAUAAGCUGUAAGGGAUAGAAAGAUCUGUGGUGGUCCCUUGUUGUUUUUCCUGUCUGGUGCAUGCUACUCUGCCUUGGAGACAACUGUGGACUGAAAUGUCUACGAACUGUAAGCCAAAUAAACCUUUCGUCCCAUUUAGAGUGUUUUCAUGUUACUUUGUGACUUCAGAUUGUUGUUCAGGCUAUUUCCUU